rnacentral:rRNA from 1 species
GAUGAACGCUGGCGGCGUGCCUAAUACAUGCCAGUCGAGCGAACAGAUGAGGAUCUUGCUCCUCUGACGUUAGCGGCGGACGGGUGAGUAACACGUGGAUAACCUACCUAUAAGACUGGGAUAACUUCGGGAAACCGGAGCUAAUACCGGAUAAUAUAUUGAACCGCAUGGUUCAAUAGUGAAAGACGGUUUUGCUGUCACUUAUAGAUGGAUCCGCGCCGCAUUAGCUUGUUGGUAAGGUAACGGCUUACCAAGGCAACGGUGCGUAGCCGACGUGGGAGGGUGGUCGGCCACACUGGAACUGAGACACGGUCCAGACUCCUACGGGAGGCAGCCGUAGGGAAUAUUCCGCAGUGGGCGAAAGCGUGACGGAGCAACGCCGCGUGAGUGAUGAAGGUCUUCGGAUCGUAAAACUCUGUUAGUAGGGAAGACCAAAUGUGUAAGUAGCUGUGCACGUCUUGACGGUACCUAAAGAGAAAGCCACGGCUAACUACGUG